CUAUACAUGCAGUCGAGCGAAAGAUAAGGAGCUUGCUCCUUUGACGUUAGCGGCGGACGGGUGAGUAACACGUGGAUAACCUACCUAUAAGACUGGGAUAACUUCGGGAAACCGGAGCUAAUACCGGAUAACAUAUUGAACCGCAUGGUUCAAUAGUGAAAGGCGGCUUUGCUGUCACUUAUAGAUGGAUCCGCGCCGUAUUAGCUAGUUGGUAAGGUAACGGCUUACCAAGGCAACGAUACGUAGCCGACCUGAGAGGGUGAUCGGCCACACUGGAACUGAGACACGGUCCAGACUCCUACGGGAGGCAGCAGUAGGGAAUCUUCCGCAAUGGGCGAAAGCCUGACGGAGCAACGCCGCGUGAGUGAUGAAGGUCUUCGGAUCGUAAAACUCUGUUAUCAGGGAAGAACAAAUGUGUAAGUAACUGUGCACAUCUUGACGGUACCUGAUCAGAAAGCCACGGCUAACUACGUGCCAGCAGCCGCGGUAAUACGUAGGUGGCAAGCGUUAUCCGGAAUUAUUGGGCGUAAAGCGCGCGUAGGCGGUUUUUUAAGUCUGAUGUGAAAGCCCACGGCUCAACCGUGGAGGGUCAUUGGAAACUGGAAAACUUGAGUGCAGAAGAGGAAAGUGGAAUUCCAUGUGUAGCGGUGAAAUGCGCAGAGAUAUGGAGGAACACCAGUGGCGAAGGCGACUUUCUGGUCUGUAACUGACGCUGAUGUGCGAAAGCGUGGGGAUCAAACAGGAUUAGAUACCCUGGUAGUCCACGCCGUAAACGAUGAGUGCUAAGUGUUAGGGGGUUUCCGCCCCUUAGUGCUGCAGCUAACGCAUUAAGCACUCCGCCUGGGGAGUACGACCGCAAGGUUGAAACUCAAAGGAAUUGACGGGGACCCGCACAAGCGGUGGAGCAUGUGGUUUAAUUCGAAGCAACGCGAAGAACCUUACCAAAUCUUGACAUCCUUUGACUGCUCUAGAGAUAGAGUCUUCCCCUUCGGGGGACAAAGUGACAGGUGGUGCAUGGUUGUCGUCAGCUCGUGUCGUGAGAUGUUGGGUUAAGUCCCGCAACGAGCGCAACCCUUAAGCUUAGUUGCCAUCAUUAAGUUGGGCC
rnacentral:rRNA from 1 species